CCAGCCCCUGUGUUUUUGUUUUUGAAAUAGGGUUUCACUACACAGUGCAGGCUGGCUUUGAACUCACUUUGUAGUCCAGGCUGGCCUCAAACCUACAGUGAUCCUCCUGCCUCCUCAGCCAGCACAUGGGUUUGACUCUGGAGCUGAGUCCUGACAUAUUUCUGAGGUCCAAAGAGAUCACUGACCACUGCAACUCAAGGAGAAACACUGGGUCACAGGAGCAAUUGAGAAGUUACUCCUCCUGAUGUCCAGUUUCUGGCACUGCUAUUCUCCGGAUGAGCCCUGUUCUGAGUCCUUGUGCAUUCUGUUCUCUUUGGAUAGAAUGUUUUUUUUUCCCACUAGUGAAGACUGCAAGUCUCUCUUCCUCUGAGACCACCAUUUUCACUGCAUCCUUCUAUCUAUCAUGCCAGCUUCCUGUACUGGCUGUGAGUGCCUCAGAACCCCUUCUGUGGUCCAGUGUCUGGCUCGCUGUGAGUGUUGAAUGAACUAGUGAAUGGAUGAAGACGAGGUUACACCGAAUCCCUGGGGAAGCAGGGAAUGGAGUGUUCAGGUCUGAUACCUGCAGAAAGGCAGCCAACACAGCAAGGCCUCCUGGGCGUCCCAAGGCUGCCUCAACUUUGGAGAACGCUGUGUUGAGGUGAACCACGUGGAUCUGGAGAGGAUGCAUGGGUCAGCGUGCGGCUUUAUCUCUGGCUACACCCCUGUGGCCCUGCCCGGAGCACUGGGAGCUCACCUCCGCUGGAAAACGGUGGCCGUCAACAGUGUGCUCUGAGCCCGGGCGAUCCGAAGUGCCCCAGUGCAGAUGCAACUGCUGAGCUCGGUACUCCCGGCCGGGACCCAGAGCCAUCUCUAGCCCGGGUGGCAGACUCAGCUGCACUACGUGGGGAGCGGCUCAUUAGCAGUCCGCGCGCCACCCUGCGUGCCCACCUCUGCCCCUGGCACCACCGCGGCCGCCCCUCCCCAGACAGUCUAGGCUCUGGGCACAAGCUCUGAGCCCAGGCCCCCUCACCAGUGUGACCAUUAUUGCGCAGGCGCAGCUCCGGGCGAGGCUGAAGUUCAAAGCCCAGGAGCUGGACCGGCCCCAGGGCCUGGCGGAAGGCGGUGAGCUCGGGGCGAAUGUCUACGGGGGACUGGAAGCGGCCGGCGCAGGCAGGGGACACCUGGGGCCAGGACGGGCUGCCUAGAUGAGGGGGUGUGGUGAACAAGCCUAAUAAGGAUGAAUGUCAGGUGGAUCCUCUUCACUGGGAAGCUCCUCCUCACGCAGAGGGUCAUUUUCUCCAGAUGAGUCUCCUUCCACGGAGGGAUCCCCCUGCAUCCAGUCCCCAAAAGCCGGUAUAAUUCCAGGACUUGGAAGGCUGAGGUGGGAAGAUUCCAAGUUUGAGGAGACCCUGGCCUUGUCUAAAGGGAAAAAAAAA